UACGUAGGGUGCGAGCGUUUGUCCGGAAUUAUUGGGCGUAAAGCGCGCGCAGGUGGUUUCUUAAGUCUGAUGUGAAAGCCCACGGCUCAACCGUGGAGGGUCAUUGGAAACUGGGGAACUUGAGUGCAGGAGAGGAAGAGUGGAAUUCCACGUGGUAGCGGAUGGAAAUGCGUAGAGAUGUGGAGGAACACCAGUGGCGAAGGCGACUCUUUGGCCUGUAACUGACACUGAGGCGCGAAAGCCAGGGGAGCAAACGGG
rnacentral:rRNA from 1 species